UUUUACGAAACUCGUCAGGUUCGGGCAGCGAAGGAAGCAAUGAUAACCGGAAAC
rnacentral:SRP_RNA from 11 species